GCGUGAGUGAUGAAGGCUUUCGGGUCGUAAAACUCUGUUGUUAGGGAAGAACAAGUGCUAGUUGAAUAAGCUGGCACCUUGACGGUACCUAACCAGAAAGCCACGGCUAACUACGUGCCAGCAGCCGCGGUAAUACGUAGGUGGCAAGCGUUAUCCGGAAUUAUUGGGCGUAAAGCGCGCGCAGGUGGUUUCUUAAGUCUGAUGUGAAAGCCCACGGCUCAACCGUGGAGGGUCAUUGGAAACUGGGAGACUUGAGUGCAGAAGAGGAAAGUGGAAUUCCAUGUGUAGCGGUGAAAUGCGUAGAGAUAUGGAGGAACACCAGUGGCGAAGGCGACUUUCUGGUCUGUAACUGACACUGAGGCGCGAAAGCGUGGGGAGCAAACAGAAUUAGAUACCCUGGUAG
rnacentral:rRNA from 1 species